rnacentral:pre_miRNA from 12 species
UGAUAGUUCGGAGAUUAUGAUCUCAUUGCCCUCGUCAGAGUGGUUAUGAUGUGUCUAUAUUAAUUUCAUAUCACAGCCAGCUUUGAUGAGCGCAAAGGGAUUCUAAACACCUUUUAAGAAAA